rnacentral:rRNA from 1 species
AAUGAACGUUGGCGGCGUGGAUUAGGCAUGCAAGUCGAGGGAGAACCCGCAAGGGGGAAACCGGCGAACGGGGUAGGAUCACGUCGGUACGUACCCUCGGGACGGGGAUAGCCACGGGAAACUGUGGGUAAUACCCGAUGAUCUGGCGAAAGCCAGCAAAGGUGAGAUUCCGCCCGGGGAGCGGCUGACGCGCUACUAGCUUGUUGGUGAGGUAACGGCUCACCAAGGCGACGAUGGCUAGGGGGUGUGAGAGCAUGGCCCCCACCACUGGGACUGAGAUACUGCCCAGACACCUACGGGUGGCUGCAGUCGAGAAUCUUCGGCAAUGGGCGCAAGCCUGACCGAGCGACGCCGCGUGCGGGAUGAAGGUCUUCGGAUUGUAAACCGCUGUCGGGAGGGAUGAAGUGCAUGGGGGUUCUCCCCCGUGUUUGACAGAGCUCCGGAGGAAGCACGGGCUAAGUUCGUGCCAGCCGCCGCUGUAAAAC